rnacentral:rRNA from 1 species
CACGUAGGGCGCAAGCGUUGUCCCGGAAUUAUUGGGCGUAAAGAGCUCGUAGGCGGUCUGUUACGUCUGCUGUGAAAACCCGGGGCUUAACCCUGGGCUUGCAGUGGAUACGGGCAGACUAGAGGCAGGUAGGGGAGAAUGGAAUUCCCGGUGUAGCGGUGAAAUGCGCAGAUAUCGGGAGGAACACCUAUGGCGAAGGCAGCUCGCUGGGACGUUACUGACGCUGAGACGCGAAAGCGUGGGGAGCAAACAGG